GGUACAGUAGAAAAACGCGCCAAGGGAAGUUACUCUAAAGGAACAAGUUCGGAUCUUUGAUUCAGUAAAAACUAAACUAAAACAAUGCAGAUGAUGAUCUACACGCUGCUCACACCUGCUGUCUUGAGAACAGUAGUAAGCGGAGUGCUUGUGCUGGUAGCUUUCCUUGUAUAUCGGAGAUACAGGAGAUGGGAGGCAGGGUUUAAUGCAUUCCCAGGAAAACCUAUCAGUCACUGGUUCUUUGGAAAUCUGAAAGAGUUCCCUGGGUUGACAGAAGAAGGUUACAACUUUAAUGUAGAAAUGGUGAAGCUGUUUCCAAAGUUCUUCAGAUUCUGGGUUGGUAGAAUUUACUGUGUCCUUAUUUUCCAACAUCCAGACACAGUGAAAGUGGUUUUGAAAUCAUCAGCUCCAAAGUCAAGGGCUCCUGGGACUUUGUACGUGCCAGGAUUGCGCUGGCUAGGUGAGGGUCUUCUCAUUGCAAAUGGAGAAAGAUGGGCAAGAAACCGUAGACUGCUCACUCCAGCCUUCCACUUUGAUAUUCUUCAGCCUUAUACAGACAUAAACAACAAGUGUGUUGAUAUUUUGUUGAGCAAGCUACAGGGAUUCUGUGACAGGGGAGAGAACUUCGAAGCAUUUGAACAUAUUGGGCUGUGUUCAUUGGAUAUUAUUGGAAGAUGUGCAUUUUCAUAUAUCACAGAUGCUCAGACACAGGGUGAUAAGCACCCCUAUGUGAAUGCUGUUCAUAGGCUUACAGAAUUGUGGACAAAAAGGACAUUAAAUUUGUUCCAUAUAUUAGAUUGGGUGUAUUUCAAUUUCACAAAAGAUGGCAGAGAGUUUUCCAAGUUAUGUGAUUAUGUUCACAAAGUUGCUGAAGAUAUUAUACAGAAAAGGAAAAAGGUUUUAGUAGGUCCAGCAUGUUGUGUAUUAAAAUUAUUUCAGGAAAUCGAAGGAUUGCCAAGCAAUGACGGUAACAGGAAAAGAUAUUUAGACUUCCUGGAUAUUUUGAUAACAGCUAAAGAUGAGGAUGGUGUGGGACUCUGUGAUUAUGAUAUCCGCUGUGAAGUGGAUACAUUCAUGUUUGAAGCACAUGAUACUACUUCCUCUGGAAUAUCUUAUACAUUGCUAUGUUUGGCACAGAACCAAGAAAUACAAGAGAAGGUUCGACAAGAAGUUGAUGAUAUACUUACAGGCAGAGAGUCGGAUGACAUAACAUGGAAGGAUUUGGCAAAGUUUGAGUACCUGAACAUGUGUAUAAAAGAGGGAUUAAGAUAUUCUAGCCCGGUACAUGUUGUACAGAGACAUACAACAGAGGAAUUACAAGUGGAAGGAUACACAAUACCUUCAGGAUUAUCACAAAAUUUCAGGUACAAAUAUUAUAGUACAUUUGUAUGCGCUUCACCACAACCCAGCAGUAUGGGGCAGUGAUUUUAAUGAGUAUAGACCUGAGAGAUUUCUUCAUGAAAAUGUAGAAAAAAUGGAUCCAUUUGCAUUUGUGCCUUUCUCAGGAGGUCCUAGGAAUUGUAUUGGUCAGAAUUUUGCCAUGAUGGAAAUGAAGAUUAUGAUAGCAAGAAUAAUUCAUAG
rnacentral:misc_RNA from 1 species